rnacentral:rRNA from 1 species
UACCGAGGGGGCAAGCGUUGUUCGGAAUUAUUGGGCGUAAAGGGCGCGUAGGCGGUGCCACAAGUCACCUGUGAAAUCUCCGGGCUUAACUCGGAGCCUGCAGGCGAAACUGUGGUGCUGGAGUGUGGGAGAGGUGCGUGGAAUUCCCGGUGUAGCGGUGAAAUGCGUAGAUAUCAGGAGGAACACCAAUUGCGAAGGCAGCUCGCUGGGACGUUACUGACGCUGAGACGCGAAAGCGUGGGGAGCAAACAGG